GUAGGGGAGGGUGCCGUGGCCUUCCUGAUCAGUGUUUUCCCAUGGGCCUGGUCUGGGGCUGCUUCCAGCCGAGGAGACAGAGGGUUUCUCAGAUGAGCGUCCUCGGCUGUUUGUCUCCACGGGGGAAGGUGCACUCUGACGUCAGGGAGCCGAGGAGCUGGGCCUGGGCAGCCUCGGUUUCUGGAUAUUGUCUGGACGCUAGUUCCUCUGUAAAAGGACUUCAAGGUCCUGGGAUCAGCAUGACUUUAGUGGGAGCCCAGCGGGAGCCCAUCUGGACUUGAACAAUUUGCUAAUUCCAUUUGGCUCUAUAGCUGAAGCGGUCAGAGGUCACAGAAACAAGCCUUUACCUAUGAGUGUCACUAAGGACCCAGGGCCCUGGGGAUGUGGGCCUUGAGUUUUAGCCCAUCUCUGCUGGGUUCUCUGAAGGGGAACCGACGGCGGGGCUGAUGUGAACUCAGAGCCGGUCCCACCUUGGCCCGGCCAGGCACCCCAUCUCCCACCUGGGAAACGGGAAGCAGUUAGGGCUGGAAUCCUGGGGAAGAGAAGUUCUUUUUCUGUUGGGCUGCUGAGGGGUGCUGAGGCCAGCCCGGGAGUGGCGGUGGAGAGCUCCCCUGAGCAGGACAGCAGCACAAGGGCAGGCAGCCAAGCCAAGAGGCUGGGAGGGCCGAUCCCUGCUGAUGGCGUCGAGCACCCAGGUACAGCCUCACCUGAAACUCUCUGCCUUUAGACGGCCUAGUUACAGAAAUCGUUCUCUCCUGCUUUGUUCGUUUGCUAGUUCAAGCCCCUUGGGUUUCUGUCACAGGCUAUCAAAAGAAUCCUGGGGCCGGGUCGGCGGCAUACUGGUUAAGCUCCUGCACUCCUCUUCAGCGGCCCCAGGUUUGCAGGUUUGGACCCCAGGUGCAGACACUCACAUCGCUCAUCAGCCCAUGCUGUGGCAGGUGUCCCGCCCAGAAAAUGGCGGAAAAUUGGCACAGAUGUUAGCUCAGGGCCAAUCUUCCUCACAACAAAAAAAGAAAAGAAUAAAGCUUCUGAGUGAAGGGGCACCCUGACCUCCGGCCCGUCUCCCACUGAGCGGGUGCUGAGCGGGGGGCCUGGCUCUGAACGCAGUGAGGGGAAUGAAAGGGCCGACGCGAG
rnacentral:lncRNA from 1 species